rnacentral:rRNA from 1 species
AUGGUCGCUUUUCGAGAUACGUUGGAGAUCUGUGGUCUAGUUGAUCUAGGUUUUGUUGGGACCCCCUUUACGUAUGAUAAUAACAGGGGCGGAGGGGGAAACGUCAAGGUGAGGCUGGAUAGGGCAGUGGCUAAUAAUGCAUGGAAGAAUUUGUUCACUUAUGCUUCGAUACUUCAUGUGCCAUCACCAUGCUCGGAUCACGUGGCACUUGUCCUAAAGGGAUCGGUUGAUCGAGGCCCGAAUGGGGGGAAGAAGCGGAGGUAUGAACUCUUUUGGGAGAGGGAUGGAGCUUUACCGGAGGUGAUUAAGGAGGCUUGGGAGGCUGCGGGAGGUGUACACAACAUGACACAGCUGAGAGAUGCGCUAACUAAAACAAUGUUAGCCCUGCGUCUUUGGAGCAAAAAAUUCGGUAAUGUAACUCGAGAUCUAGCAAAAUCGCGGUCCCAGCUAGAGGAGUUGAUGUGCAUGAAUGCUGAUCACCAAGGUAUAGUUCGGGUAACGGAUAAGAUGAAUGAGCUUUUGUAUCAAGAAGAGAUGCUUUGGUUGCAACGUUCGCGUAUUACGUGGUUGAAGGAAGGGGAUAGAAACACAAGAUAUUUCCAAAGUAAGGCAGUGUGGAGGGCAAGGAAGAACAAGAUACGUGAACUGACGGACAGCAUUGGAGUAUACACUCGGACCUUGCCGGCAUGGGAGAUUUGGCUAACACAUAUUUCCAUGAUAUUUUUACAGCUGACCCGACUCUUAAUGCUGCGCCUAUUCUGGACUUAA